rnacentral:rRNA from 1 species
CCUACGGGAGGCAGCAGUGAGGAAUAUUGGUCAAUGGACGAGAGUCUGAACCAGCCAAGUAGCGUGAAGGAUGACUGCCCUAUGGGUUGUAAACUUCUUUUAUAUGGGAAUAACAUGUUCCACGUGUGGGAUUUUGUAUGUACCAUAUGAAUAAGGAUCGGCUAACUCCGUGCCAGCAGCCGCGGUAAUACGGAGGAUCCGAGCGUUAUCCGGAUUUAUUGGGUUUAAAGGGGGCGUAGGUGGUUUGUUAAGGCAGUUGUGAAAGUUUGCGGCUCAACCGUAAAAUUGCAGUUGAAACUGGCAGUCUUGAGUACAGUAGAGGUGGGCGGAAUGCGUGGUGUAGCGGGGAAAUGCUUAGAUAUCACGAAGAACUCCGAUUGCGAAGGCAGUACACUGGACUGCAACUGACACUGAGGCUCGAAAGUGUGGGUAUCAAACAGGAUUAGAUACCCGAGUAGUC